rnacentral:rRNA from 1 species
CACAUGCAAGUCGAGCGGAAACGAGUUAACUGAACCUUCGGGGGACGUUAACGGCGUCGAGCGGCGGACGGGUGAGUAAUGCCUAGGAAAUUGCCCUGAUGUGGGGGAUAACCAUUGGAAACGAUGGCUAAUACCGCAUGAUGCCUACGGGCCAAAGAGGGGGACCUUCGGGCCUCUCGCGUCAGGAUAUGCCUAGGUGGGAUUAGCUAGUUGGUGAGGUAAGGGCUCACCAAGGCGACGAUCCCUAGCUGGUCUGAGAGGAUGAUCAGCCACACUGGAACUGAGACACGGUCCAGACUCCUACGGGAGGCAGCAGUGGGGAAUAUUGCACAAUGGGCGCAAGCCUGAUGCAGCCAUGCCGCGUGUGUGAAGAAGGCCUUCGGGUUGUAAAGCACUUUCAGUCGUGAGGAAGGUAGUGUAGUUAAUAGCUGCAUUAUUUGACGUUAGCGACAGAGGAAGCACCGGCUAACUCCGUGCCAGCAGCCGCGGUAAUACGGAGGGUGCGAGCGUUAAUCGGAAUUACUGGGCGUAAAGCGCAUGC